GGCUCAGUGGUCUAGUGGUAUGAUUCCUGCUUCGGGUUGCACCCUUCCAUCUAUACAUGGGAAUGCAGGAGGCCCCGGGUUCGAAUCCCGGCUGAGCCC